AUUGAACGCUGGCGGCAGGCCUAACACGUGCAAGUCGAGCGGUAGAGAGGUGCUUGCAUCUCUUGAGAGCGGCGGACGGGUGAGUAAUGCCUAGGAAUCUGCCUAGUGGUGGGGGAUAACGUUCGGAAACGGACGCUAAUACCGCAUACGUCCUACGGGAGAAAGCGGGGGAUCUUCGGACCUCGCGCCAUUAGAUGAGCCUAGGUCGGAUUAGCUAGUUGGUGAGGUAAUGGCUCACCAAGGCGACGAUCCGUAGCUGGUCUGAGAGGACGACCAGCCACACUGGAACUGAGACACGGUCCAGACUCCUACGGGAGGCAGCAGUGGGGAAGUUUUAGGUACGAAUGGGCGGAAAGACCUGAUCCAGCAAUGCCGCGUGAGUGAAGAAGG
rnacentral:rRNA from 1 species